UAUGUAUAUUUGUAAUGAAUAAACUCAAAAACUACUGUGCCGAUUUCAAAAAUUAUUUCACCAUUGGAAAGCUAUAUUCACCCCGAGUAACAUAGGCUAUAUUUUUUGCAAGCAUCUCAACUUUCUGGAAAUAGUCCCCAGUCAUUCCUUCUCUUCGCAUCGCAAUCGCGUGUCUGGGAGUCGAUUAACGAGCGCUCCCAGCUGCUUGCUGAAAAAAAUUUCAAAACCUUCUAAGUACGUGCUUGGGAGUCGACUACGGAGCGUAUGCUGCGGCUUAAAUAACAAUGUAUUAUAAAUAUACAAAUAUAUAGCGCCAAACUCUGAGCGUUCCCAACUCCUUCAUAAUAAGAGAGAAAGACAACACCAAAAACUAGAGCUCGUAAUCAAGUUUUAGCUCAUUGCAAAUAAAAUAUAAUUUAAGUGUGUAAAAACUUAUAACUUUCGAAAUGUGUGUUUAAACCCGUGCUAAGCCGCAGCAGUCUGUUAGUGAUUUAUAUUUUGUCAUGCAUUUGAAAAGAACUGAACUAGUGGUUUUCGCAUUUUAAAAUAUUCGAUUCGAUUCAGAAACCGAUUCGUUUCAAAACCGAUACAGUCCUGGUUUAAACCUUAUUCUCAAGAUUUCAUAGCAUUCCAUUAACAAGUAGUUCAAUUCAGGUUGAAGAUCAGCACAAGAGGUCACAGUACACACAAGCAAAAUUCUUCUCAUUUUGUUAAUUUGGUCUAGACAUAAAUAUGUAUUUUGUUUCUUUCUAUUGACAAGUUAUUCAAAAAAUUACAUGAAAAAUAAGUUCCACUAAAAGGCGUUCAUACACGCAGGGAGGAAUCAAAUAUUAUAUGAAUAUGAACAUAAAGUGCUUACUGAGGUGUAAAUGAUAACUAUGAAUGUUACAAUCCAAUUUUACAAUUGCUUUCAGCGCACAAGUUAAAAUUUAGCAAAACUCCUAAGUUAGACACAUUAGCUA